AUGGGUAACAUCUGCCGUACCGUCGCUGCUGCCGGCUGCCAUUUUGUCGCUAAAUCCUGAUCGGCUUCCUCACUGCCGUAGAAAAAAGGGGGUGAUUUCCAGCGGGGCUAAUAGGUGCGCGCUGAGCGUGUAUGUGCAGGGCAGCAUGCUGUCGGCGGCGCAGUUGUUGGACGAGCUUAUGGGCAGGGACCGGAACCUGGCCCCUAAUGAGAAGCGCUGCAACGUGCACUGGGACGACGAGACCGUUUGCAAGUACUACCUGUGUGGAUUUUGCCCGGCAGAGUUAUUCACAAAUACACGAUCAGACUUGGGUCCUUGCGACAAGAUCCACGAUGAGAACCUACGGAAAAUGUAUGAGAAAAGCUCCCGCUUCAUGAAGGAGGGCUAUGAGCGGGACUUCCUGCGCUACCUUCAGAGUCUGCUGGCCGAGGUGGAGCGGCGCAUCCGCCGGGGUCACGCCCGCCUGUCCCUCUCCCAGUCCCAGCCCAGCUCUGGGAAGGAUGUGGAUAAAAUGGAGAUGUUUCUGCAGCAGGGACCAGGUUCAGCAGGGAGGAAUGAGGAGAAGGCCCAGGUUCUCACGGAGAAGAUUGAAGAUCUGUUGCUUCAGAUCGAGGAGCUGGGUAGCGAGGGCAAGGUGGAGGAAGCUCAGGGAAUGAUGAAGCUGGUGGAGCAGCUGAAGGAUGAUCGAGAACUACUCAGCUCCGCCCCCUCGACCAUCGAGAGCUUCGUGGCUCAGGAGAAGCAGAUGGAGGUCUGUGAGGUGUGCGGGGCAUUCCUCAUCGUGGGUGAUGCCCAGUCCAGAGUAGAUGACCACCUGAUGGGCAAGCAGCACAUGGGUUAUGCCAAGAUCAAAUCCACUGUGGAGGAGCUCAAGGAAAAACUGCGCCGACGGUCUGAGGGACCAGAGAAAGAUGACCAUGGCAAGAAGGAGAAGGAAGAGCGAGAGGAAAGGGAGAAAGAAAGGAGAAGAGGAAGAGAGAGGAGGAGGAGAAGGAGAAGGAGCGGGAAAAGGAGCGGGAGAGAGCGAAGGAGCGGGAGAAGGAGAAGGAGCGGGAGAGGGAAAAGGAGCGAGAGCGCGAGCGAGACAGGGACCGGGACAGAGACCGGGACCGGGACCGCCGCAGCCGGCACAGUCACUCAAGCAGGACAUCGGAGCGGAGGAGGAGCCGAUCGCGGGAGCGUGACAGGGAGCGGAAGCGGAGCAGGAGCAGAGAGAGACGGCGUAGCCGGGAACGCUCGGACAGGAGGCCUCGCUCUCGCAGCCGAGACCGGGACCGGAGGCCGAAGCACCGGAGCCGCAGCCGGGACCGGGACAGGGACAAGGAUCGGGACAAGGACAAAGACAGGGACAGGAGAUCCAGAGACAAAGAACUCAGAGGCAGCGACGAGAAGCGGGCUAGCAAGAAGCCUCAUGCCGAGGAGGGGGGGGGCACGGCGCCGCUGAAUGGCACCACUGAAGACAGGCACUCUGAAGGUGACACUCAGUCCAAUUAAAACAGAUGUGAUAGGACCUGAGACCGGGCCCAGGGCCAGGCCGCAGCAGUGCAUCCAAAGAGCUGUCCGUCUGUCUGGACCGCGCAAGCCCGUCACGUAAAGCGAGGUGAACAUAAUGGCCGAGAGUAACAAAAAAAAAAAUAAAUCUGUAAAAACAUCUGUUUCCCAGUCCAUAUGUUCACUUGUUACGUUUUCCCUAAAAAAAAAAAAAAAAAUGGUUUGUUUUUCCUCCAUAAUUAUGGCUUCAGACACCAGCUGGAACUACACAACGUUUUGAUACUCGGCUAUUUUCUUUUUUUUUUUUUCUUUUUUUUACCGUGCUUAGUAACUGAAACCUGUACCUGUGGCUUGUUUGAUUUCUGUCCCUGGUUCUGCUCUUUGAACUUUGAAGUACUUGUUUUUAUACACCUGUCUGAGCUGGGUUAUUUCAGAUAUGAUGCCCACCCACUUAAAAAUUCGGUUUAUUUUACCUUUCGUGUGUCGUAAUGCUCCAACAGCAGGAUCAUUUUGUAUUGAAGUGAAAUGGGUUGUUUUUGCUUCUCAGAUUUUUAGGACUUGUAUAUUUGUGUCGAUUUAAUAAAACAAACGAUGUUUCUUU